GGCAGCAGCCGCGGUAAUACCGGCGGCUCGAGUGGUGGCCACUUUUAUUGGGCUUAAAGCGUUCGUAGCUGGGUUAUUAAGUCCCUUGGGAAAUCCGACAGCUUAACUGUCGGGCGUCUAAGAGAUACUGGUAAUCUUGGAACCGGGAGAGGUGAGGGGUACUUCGGGGGUAGGAGUGAAAUCCUGUAAUCCUCGAGGGACCACCUGUGGCGAAGGCGCCUCACCAGAACGGCUUCGACAGUGAGGGACGAAAGCUGGGGGAGCAAACCGGAUUAGAUACCCGGGUAGUCCCAGCCGUAAACGAUGUGCGUUAGGUGUAUCGGUGACCACGAGUCACCGAGGUGCCGAAGGGAAACCGUGAAACGUACCGCCUGGGAAGUACGGUCGCAAGGCUGAAACUUAAAGGAAUUGGCGGGGGAGCACCACAACAGGUGGAGCCUGCCGGUUUAAUUGGACUCAACGCCGGAAAUCUCACCGGAUAAGACAGCAGAAUGAUUGCCGGGCUGAAGACUCUGCAUGACUAGUUGAGUGGAGGUGCAUGG
rnacentral:rRNA from 1 species